UGGUGAAGUCAAUGAUGGAGUUACUCAACAUGUCUGAACCUGUCUGAAGCAUCUCAGUGAUGCACUCUGAGUUCUGAGACUUCUCUGUCA